rnacentral:rRNA from 1 species
GAAUUUUCGGCAAUGAGCGAAAGCCUGACCGAGCAACGCCGCGUGAAGGAAGAAGUCAUUCGUGAUGUAAACUUCUGUUAUAAAGGAAGAACAGCGCCUGUAGGGAAUGACAGGCGAGUGACGGUACUUUAUGAGGAAGCCACGGCUAACUACGUGCCAGCAGCCGCGGUAAUACGUAGGUGGCGAGCGUUAUCCGGAAUCAUUGGGCGUAAAGAGGGAGCAGGCGGCAGUGCAGGUCUGCGGUGAAAGCCCGAAGCUAAACUUCGGUAAGCCGUGGAAACCGCACAGCUAGAGAGCAUCAGAGGAUCGCGGAAUUCCAUGUGUAGCGGUGAAAUGCGUAGAUAUAUGGAGGAACACCAGUGGCGAAGGCGGCGGUCUGGGGUGCAGCUGACGCUCAGUCCCGAAAGCGUGGGGAGCAAAUAGGAUUAGAUACCCUAGUAGUCCACGCCGUAAACGAUGAGUGCUAAGUGUUGGGGGUCAGACCUCAGUGCUGCAGUUAACGCAAUAAGCACUCCGCCUGAGUAGUACGUUCGCAAGAAUGAAACUCAAAGGAAUUGACGGGGGCCCGCACAAGCGGUGGAGCAUGUGGUUUAAUUCGAAGCAACGCGAAGAACCUUACCAGGUCUUGACAUGGAGAUAAAGGCUCUGGAGACAGAGAGAUAGUUAUAUCUCACACAGGUGGUGCAUGGUUGUCGUCAGCUCGUGUCGUGAGAUGU